AGUGAACGCUGGCGGCGUGCUUAACACAUGCAAGUCGAACGAGAACGGGUUAUAGCUUGCUAUAAUUGUCAGCUAAGUGGCGCACGGGUGAGUAAUGUAUAGGUAAUAUGCCUCUUACUAAGGGAUAACAAAUGGAAACGUUUGCUAAUACCUUAUACUCCUUAUUAACAUAAGUUAAUAAGGGAAAGAUUUAUUGGUAAGAGAUUAGCCUGUAUUGUAUCAGUUAGUUGGUGGGGUAAUGGCUUACCAAGACUAUGACACAUAACUGAUUUGAGAGGAGGAACAGUCACAAUGGAACUGAGACACGGUCCAGACUCCUACGGGAGGCAGCAGUGGGGAAUAUUGCACAAUGGACGAAAGUCUGAUGCAGCAACGCCGCGUGGAGGAUGACACAUUUCGGUGCGUAAACUCCUUUUAUAUGAGAAGAUAAUGACGGUAUUAUAUGAAUAAGCACCGGCUAACUCCGUGCCAGCAGCCGCGGUAAAAC
rnacentral:rRNA from 1 species